AGAACGACGCUGGCGGCAGGCCUAACACAUGCAAGUCGAGCGAACCCUUCGGGGUUAGCGGCGGACGGGUUAGUAACGCGUGGGAAUAUACCCUUUGGUACGGAAUAGCCUCGGGAAACUGAGAGUAAUACCGUAUGUGCCCUUCGGGGGAAAGAUUUAUCGCCAAAGGAUUAGCCCGCGUUGGAUUAGAUAGUUGGUGGGGUAAUGGCCUACCAAGUCUACGAUCCAUAGCUGGUUUGAGAGGAUGAUCAGCAACACUGGGACUGAGACACGGCCCAGACUCCUACGGGAGGCAGCAGUGGGGAAUCUUAGACAAUGGGCGCAAGCCUGAUCUAGCCAUGCCGCGUGGACGAUGAAGGCCUUAGGGUUGUAAAGUCCUUUCAGAUGGGAAGAUAAUGACGGUACCAUCAGAAGAAGCCCCGGCUAACUCCGUG
rnacentral:rRNA from 1 species